rnacentral:rRNA from 1 species
CGGGACGGGUGAGUAACGCGUGGGUAACCUGCCUUGUACAGGGGGAUAACAGUUGGAAACGGCUGCUAAUACCGCAUAAGCGCACAGCAUCGCAUGAUGCAGUGUGAAAAACUCCGGUGGUAUAAGAUGGACCCGCGUUGGAUUAGCUAGUUGGUGAGGUAACGGCCCACCAAGGCGACGAUCAGUAGCCGACCUGAGAGGGUGACCGGCCACAUUGGGACUGAGACACGGCCCAA